GACGAACGCUGGCGGCGUGCUUAACACAUGCAAGUCGAACGGAAAGGCCCUGCUUUUGUGGGGUGCUCGAGUGGCGAACGGGUGAGUAACACGUGAGUAACCUGCCCUUGACUUUGGGAUAACUUCAGGAAACUGGGGCUAAUACCGGAUAGGAGCUCCUGCUGCAUGGUGGGGGUUGGAAAGUUUCGGCGGUUGGGGAUGGACUCGCGGCUUAUCAGCUUGUUGGUGGGGUAGUGGCUUACCAAGGCUUUGACGGGUAGCCGGCCUGAGAGGGUGACCGGCCACAUUGGGACUGAGAUACGGCCCAGACUCCUACGGGAGGCAGCAGUGGGGAAUAUUGCACAAUGGGCGGAAGCCUGAUGCAGCAACGCCGCGUGCGGGAUGACGGCCUUCGGGUUGUAAACCGCUUUCGCCUGUGACGAAGCGUGAGCGACGGUAAUGGGUAAAGAGGCACCGGCUAACUACGU
rnacentral:rRNA from 1 species